CAUUUACAGACAUGAAGGGUCUCCUAGACGCCCUGGAGCGUCAGCUCGCGGGGCCCGACAGGGACGAGCCGUUACCCCGAGCCCAGUAGUCGCGCUGCGGAACCGCCAGUAAAGCCCAGAGAAAAGCCAGCCUCACCGCACUGUUUCAAGUGCGGUGAGGUUGGACAUCUUCUACCAGCCUGCCCAAACGUGGAACCGAUGGACUGCAGUUGGGCCACCACUGAGAGAAAGAAAGACGCACCGCCGCCAUGAAGCGGUCUGAAUCAGCAUCCACGCACCACUACUUCCGGCCUUCCUCUGUCAGUCCCUGAUGACGUCACCAAUCCCACUAUCCACCUCGGCUCUGGGCCUUAGAGCGAUUAUUUACAUGUACCUCCAGGUCUUUAAUAUCCUGCUGCAGCCAGAAUUUCACCCCGUAUAUUGUCAUUUUAGUACAUAAAGAAUAGUGCUUCUAUGACAAGUAGUCUCAAAAGACAGUGUCCAAAACGGGACUGAAGGGGGAAGGCAUGUGGCUGGUUUUUAUUGGCAGUGGAAAGGAAAAAGAGGGUCCAACGAGGCACAGGUGGAAGUAAGUGUUCUGCAUUUACUAGCUGAUGAGCCUGAAAUUGGAACCAGAAGUGGCAGAACAUCUUAAUGAUUCCAUAAUUUGAGGGGA